rnacentral:rRNA from 1 species
UACAGAGGGUGCGAGCGUUGUCCGGAAUCACUGGGCGUAAAGGGCGCGUAGGUGGCUCGCCAAGCGGGCGGUGAAAGCCUGGGGCUCAACCCCGGGUCGGCCGUGCGAACUGGCGAGCUGGAGCACUGUAGAGGCAGGCGGAAUUCCGGGUGUAGCGGUGGAAUGCGUAGAGAUCCGGAAGAACACCCGUGGCGAAGGCGGUUCUCUGGGACGGUACUGACGCUGAGACGCGAAAGCGUGGGGAGCGAACAGG